rnacentral:lncRNA from 1 species
GCGGCCGCGGCGCUUUGUGCUACGCCCGCCACCGAUGCUGCGCGGCCGGGACGACGGGCUCCGUGGCUGCACCGUGUGAGACGGAGAGUAGCGGCCGGGAGGCGCCAGUGCCGGCAUGUCGCUGCCUCCGGAGAAAGCCUCUGAGCUGAAGCAGCUCAUCCACCAGCAGCUGAGCAAGGUGAGGAGCUCGGGCGGACGGGACCGGAGCCAGGGCUGUGGAGCGGGCGCCGGCGGGCAAGCUUCGGUUGGGCGUGUGACCCGAGGGAGCGCUGAAGGCUCUUUAGCUAGAGUGGAGGAGAGCCGCUGUAAACCGGAGGCGGUCCGGGCGCUUUCCAGAUGUUCAUGUACAAGUAGUCCGAGGCCAGAUGUUUAGGGUUUCUUUACGCCUGGAAGCCCGAUCGCAGUAAGUUAUGGGAGACAGGGCGCUCC